rnacentral:rRNA from 1 species
AUUGAACGCUGGCGGCAGGCCUAACACAUGCAAGUCGGGCGGAUGAAGGGAGCUUGCUCCUGGAUUCAGCGGCGGACGGGUGAGUAAUGCCUAGGAAUCUGCCUGGUAGUGGGGGAUAACGUCCGGAAACGGGCGCUAAUACCGCAUACGUCCUGAGGGAGAAAGUGGGGGAUCUUCGGACCUCACGCUAUCAGAUGAGCCUAGGUCGGAUUAGCUAGUUGGUGGGGUAAAGGCCUACCAAGGCGACGAUCCGUAACUGGUCUGAGAGGAUGAUCAGUCACACUGGAACUGAGACACGGUCCAGACUCCUACGGGAGGCAGCAGUGGGGAAUAUUGGACAAUGGGCGAAAGCCUGAUCCAGCCAUGCCGCGUGUGUGAAGAAGGUCUUCGGAUUGUAAAGCACUUAAGUUGGGAGGAAGGGCAGUAAGUUAAUACCUUGCUGUUUUGACGUUACCAACAGAAUAAGCACCGGCUAACUUCGUG